AGAGUUUGAUCCUGGCUCAGAUUGAACGCUGGCGGCAUGCUUUACACAUGCAAGUCGGACGGCAGCACAGAGAAGCUUGCUUCUUGGGUGGCGAGUGGCGAACGGGUGAGUAACAUAUCGGAACGUACCGAGCAGUGGGGGAUAACUAAUCGAAAGAUUAGCUAAUACCGCAUAUUUUCUGAGGAAGAAAGCAGGGGACCAUUUGGCCUUGCGCUGUUUGAGCGGCCGAUAUCUGAUUAGCUAGUUGGUGGGGUAAAGGCCUACCAAGGCGACGAUCAGUAGCGGGUCUGAGAGGAUGAUCCGCCACACUGGGACUGAGACACGGCCCAGACUCCUACGGGAGGCAGCAGUGGGGAAUAUUGCACAAUGGGCGCAAGCCUGAUGCAGCGACGCCGCGUGGGGGAUGACGGCCUUCGGGUUGUAAACUCCUUUCGUUAGGGACGAAGCCACACCUUUUUUGGGUGUGGUGACGGUACCUUUGUUAAGAAGCACCGGCUAACUACGUGCCAGCAGCCGCGGUAAUACGUAGGGUGCGAGCGUUAAUCGGAAUUACUGGGCGUAAAGCGGGCGCAGACGGUUACUUAAGCAGGAUGUGAAAUCCCCGGGCUCAACCUGGGAACUGCGUUCUGAACUGGGUGACUAGAGUGUGUCAGAGGGAGGUAGAAUUCCACGUGUAGCAGUGAAAUGCGUAGAGAUGUGGAGGAAUACCGAUGGCGAAGGCAGCCUCCUGGGAUAACACUGACGUUCAUGCCCGAAAGCGUGGGUAGCAAACAGGAUUAGAUACCCUGGUAGUCCACGCCCUAAACGAUGUCGAUUAGCUGUUGGGCAGCUUGACUGCUUAGUAGCGAAGCUAACGCGUGAAAUCGACCGCCUGGGGAGUACGGUCGCAAGAUUAAAACUCAAAGGAAUUGACGGGGACCCGCACAAGCGGUGGAUGAUGUGGAUUAAUUCGAUGCAACGCGAAGAACCUUACCUGGUCUUGACAUGUACGGAAUCUUCCAGAGACGGAAGAGUGCCUUCGGGAGCCGUAACACAGGUGCUGCAUGGCUGUCGUCAGCUCGUGUCGUGAGAUGUUGGGUUAAGUCCC
rnacentral:rRNA from 1 species